GUUGUUAUAUCGACGGGAUACAUGUCGGUUAUUUUCAGUUUUAUUCUCUUGCCUCUUUUACAUUUUGGAGACAUUUUUUACGUGCAGUAAUUGUGUUGAUGCUUGUUGUUAAAUCCUCUCCGUUUCUCUUAAUAAAAUGUCGGUGACCAAAAAGAUAAAAUAUUUGACGGUUUGAAAAUUGUUAAAUUCCGGCUGUGUUUUUUGCCAUCAACUAAUAAUGUGCAAAUAGCAAGACUAAUAGUUUUCUACAAUCACUCUGAUUAUUAUCUAUUAUCGGAUCUCAUGAUAUAGAACUGGGUGUUUUUAUUGCGAUGGUCACCUGUUAGCGGAGUCACAGAUGUGCUGAGCGGAAGACAACAGGUCGGAUCGGCUUAAAUUAUUCUUAAUGGAUUCAACCUGUAAAAAUAAAAUAAAAACGGCGUGGUGGAAAACAAGCAAAAUGUGUUCUAUUCAAAAUUUAUGUCCUGGGUGUGCUGAUAAGAAAAAUUUACUUUGCCAGAAUUAUCAUAUAUACAAUAAUAAUCAUCAAUAGUUUAAAGACGAGUUUUGACGUUUCGGACUCAUUGAAAAGUUCAUCUUCAAAGUGAUGAUUGCUAGUUGGUGACUGCAACUAUAGUCCAAAACAUCAGAACUCAACUGUAACACAUGAAUACAUCCUUGAGCACUUAAAGCAACAAGUCAAUCCAUGAAAGCUUUAACACAUUCUUGUAUAUAUUUGUUUAUUUAAAUUUAUUUUUUUUUCUCGACCAGUGUCGUUGCAGUUAUAAUUUAGACAUUGUUGUGUGUAUUUGUAUUACUUAAAAUAUAUUUAAAAAACGUUUAUUGACACUAAAACUAUCUGUGUCAAACUUAUACAAUUUUCAGUAAAAAUAGCUGAUUUUGUAAU